rnacentral:misc_RNA from 1 species
UAGCCGUAGGUGAACCUGCGGCUGGAUCAUUAUCGAGCAUAACAUAAAUAAGUCUUAUGAAUGAAUGUCAUAAGCAAAAGUGGCUGGUAUUAUAUGCGGUGCAUUUGUUUGAUGCAUAUCUGCAUGCCACGGUAACCCAACGGCGUCGGUUGGCGUCUGCCCUUCGCUGAGCGGUUGUUGCCUAUAGUCCGUGGCCGCGUUGAAGCUUUGGGGUUGCGCAUACGUCCCGCUAGUACGGGGUAGCGGAUGCGAAGACUUAAUGAGCAGCAGAAUGUUCUGCCGCCAACCAAACCAUUUUUUUAACGAUAUUUUCUCAAUAGACAAAAACUCAUAUCAGUCUUAUCGGUGGAUCACUCGGUUCGU